rnacentral:rRNA from 1 species
AGAGUUUGAUCCUGGCUCAGGACGAACGCUGGCGGCACGCUUAACACAUGCAAGUCGAACGAGAGAAGAGGAGCUUGCUUUUCUGAUCUAGUGGCGGACGGGUGAGUAACACGUGAGCAAUCUGCCUUUCAGAGGGGGAUACCGAUUGGAAACGAUCGUUAAUACCGCAUAACAUAAUUGAACCGCAUGAUUUGAUUAUCAAAGAUUUAUCGCUGAAAGAUGAGCUCGCGUCUGAUUAGCUAGUUGGUAAGGUAACGGCUUACCAAGGCGACGAUCAGUAGCCGGACUGAGAGGUUGAUCGGCCACAUUGGGACUGAGACACGGCCCAGACUCCUACGGGAGGCAGCAGUGGGGAAUAUUGCACAAUGGAGGAAACUCUGAUGCAGCGAUGCCGCGUGAGGGAAGAAGGUUUUAGGAUUGUAAACCUCUGUCUUCAGGGACGAAAAAAGACGGUACCUGAGGAGGAAGCUCCGGCUAACUACGUGCCAGCAGCCGCGGUAAAACGUAGGGAGCGAGCGUUGUCCGGAAUUACUGGGUGUAAAGGGAGCGUAGGCGGGAUCGCAAGUCAGAUGUGAAAACUAUGGGCUUAACCCAUAAACCGCAUUUGAAACUGUGGUUCUUGAGUGAAGUAGAGGUAAGCGGAAUUCCUAGUGUAGCGGUGAAAUGCGUAGAUAUUAGGAGGAACAUCAGUGGCGAAGGCGGCUUACUGGGCUUUAACUGACGCUGAGGCUCGAAAGCGUGGGGAGCAAACAGGAUUAGAUACCCUGGUAGUCCACGCCGUAAACGAUGAUUACUAGGUGUGGGGGGACUGACCCCUUCCGUGCCGCAGCAAACGCAAUAAGUAAUCCACCUGGGGAGUACGACCGCAAGGUUGAAACUCAAAGGAAUUGACGGGGGCCCGCACAAGCAGUGGAGUAUGUGGAUUAAUUCGAAGCAACGCGAAGAACCUUACCAGGUCUUGACAUCGUAUGCAUAGCUCAGAGAUGAGUGAAAUCUCUUCGGAGACAUAUAGACAGGUGGUGCAUGGUUGUCGUCAGCUCGUGUCGUGAGAUGUUGGGUUAAGUCCCGCAACGAGCGCAACCCUUACUGUUAGUUGCUACGCAAGAGCACUCUGGCAGGACUGCCGUUGGCAAAACGGAGGAAGGUGGGGAUGACGCCAAAUCAUCAUGCCCCUUAUGACCUGGGCCUCACACGUACUACAAUGGCUGUCAACAGAGGGAAGCAAAGCCGCGAGGUGGAGCGAACCCCUAAAAGCAGUCUUAGUUCGGAUUGUAGGCUGCAACCCGCCUACAUGAAGUCGGAAUUGCUAGUAAUCGCAGAUCAGCAUGCUGCGGUGAAUACGUUCCCGGGCCUUGUACACACCGCCCGUCACGCCAUGGGAGUCGGUAACACCCGAAGCCUGUAGUCUAACCGCAAGGAGGACGCAGUCGAAGGUGGGAUUGAUGACUGGGGUGAAGUCCUAACAUGGUA